GGUUUAAAAUUCAAAAUGUUGAUUAUAAAUUGCAAAUUUAUAUAUGUUAAAAAUUUAACUUAAACUU
rnacentral:tRNA from 1 species